rnacentral:rRNA from 1 species
AGAGUUUGAUCAUGGCUCAGAUUGAACGCUGGCGGCAGGCCUAACACAUGCAAGUCGAACGGUAACAGGAAACAGCUUGCUGUUUCGCCGACGAGUGGCGGACGGGUGAGUAAUGUCUGGGAACCUGCCUGAUGGAGGGGGAUAACUACUGGAAACGGUAGCUAAUACCGCAUAACGUCGCAAGACCAAAGAGGGGGACCUUCGGGCCUCUUGCCAUCAGAUGUGCCCAGAUGGGAUUAGCUAGUAGGUGGGGUAACGGCUCACCUAGGCGACGAUCCCUAGCUGGUCUGAGAGGAUGACCAGCCACACUGGAACUGAGACACGGUCCAGACUCCUACGGGAGGCAGCAGUGGGGAAUAUUGCACAAUGGGCGCAAGCCUGAUGCAGCCAUGCCGCGUGUAUGAAGAAGGCCUUCGGGUUGUAAAGUACUUUCAGCGGGGAGGAAGGGAGUAAAGUUAAUACCUUUGCUCAUUGACGUUACCCGCAGAAGAAGCACCGGCUAACUCCGUGCCAGCAGCCGCGGUAAUACGGAGGGUGCAAGCGUUAAUCGGAAUUGCUGGGCGUAAAGCGCACGCAGGCGGUUUGUUAAGUCAGAUGUGAAAUCCCCGGGCUCAACCUGGGAACUGCAUCUGAUACUGGCAAGCUUGAGUCUCGUAGAGGGGGGUAGAAUUCCAGGUGUAGCGGUGAAAUGCGUAGAGAUCUGGAGGAAUACCGGUGGCGAAGGCGGCCCCCUGGACGAAGACUGACGCUCAGGUGCGAAAGCGUGGGGAGCAAUCAGGAUUAGAUACCCUGGUAGUCCACGCCGUAAACGAUGUCGACUUGGAGGUUGUGCCCUUGAGGCGUGGCUUCCGGAGCUAACGCGUUAAGUCGACCGCCUGGGGAGUACGGCCGCAAGGUUAAAACUCAAAUGAAUUGACGGGGGCCCGCACAAGCGGUGGAGCAUGUGGUUUAAUUCGAUGCAACGCGAAGAACCUUACCUGGUCUUGACAUCCACGGAAGUUUUCAGAGAUGAGAAUGUGCCUUCGGGAACCGUGAGACAGGUGCUGCAUGGCUGUCGUCAGCUCGUGUUGUGAAAUGUUGGGUUAAGUCCCGCAACGAGCGCAACCCUUAUCCUUUGUUGCCAGCGGUCCGGCCGGGAACUCAAAGGAGACUGCCUGUGAUAAACUGGAGGAAGGUGGGGAUGACGUCAAGUCAUCAUGGCCCUUACGACCAGGGCUACACACGUGCUACAAUGGCGCAUACAAAGAGAAGCGACCUCGCGAGAGCAAGCGGACCUCAUAAAGUGCGUCGUAGUCCGGAUUGGAGUCUGCAACUCGACUCCAUGAAGUCGGAAUCGCUAGUAAUCGUGGAUCAGAAUGCCACGGUGAAUACGUUCCCGGGCCUUGUACACACCGCCCGUCACACCAUGGGAGUGGGUUGCAAAAGAAGUAGGUAGCUUAACCUUCGGGAGGGCGCUUACCACUUUGUGAUUCAUGACUGGGGUGAAGUCGGAACAAGGUAACCGUAGGGGAACCUGCGGUUG